CCCUGGUUAGCUCAGUUGGUAGAAUGCUUCACCUGUAAUGGAGAGGUCCCGGGUUCGAUCCCCGGACCAGGCG
rfam:Ixodes scapularis strain Wikel colony gcontig_1107728858490, whole genome shotgun sequence.